rnacentral:rRNA from 1 species
UACGAAGGGGACUAGCGUUGUUCGGAAUUACUGGGCGUAAAGCGCACGUAGGCGGAUUGUUUAGUCAGGGGUGAAAUCCCGAGGCUCAACCUCGGAACUGCCUUUGAUACUGGCAAUCUCGAGUCCGGAAGAGGUGAGUGGAAUUCCUAGUGUAGAGGUGAAAUUCGUAGAUAUUCGGAGGAACACCAGUGGCGAAGGCGGCUCACUGGUCCGGUACUGACGCUGAGGUGCGAAAGCGUGGGGAGCAAACAGG